rnacentral:rRNA from 1 species
UACGUAGGAGGCGAGCGUUGUCCGGAAUUACUGGGCGUAAAGCGCGCGUAGGCGGUCUGUUGCGUAGGCGGUGAAAGCCCCAGGGCUCACCUUGGGGAGGUCCGUCUAAACGAGCAGACUGGAGGGCGGUAGGGCUGGCGGAACGCCCGGAGUAGCGGUGAAAUGCGUUGAGAUCGGGCAGAACACCAGUGGCGAAGCGGC